rnacentral:rRNA from 1 species
GAUCCAGCAAUGCCGCGUGAGUGAAGAAGGCCUUAGGGUUGUAAAGCUCUUCGCCCGCGACGAUGAUGACGGUAGCGGGAGAAGAAGCCCCGGCUAAUUCCGUGCCAGCAGCCGCGGUAAUACGGAAGGGGCGAGCGUUGUUCGGAAUCACUGGGCGUAAAGCGCGCGUAGGCGGCUUGGCAAGUGCGGCGUGAAAGUCCUGGGCUCAACCUGGGGACGGCGCUGCGGACUGCCUGGCUGGAGUCCGGAAGAGGGUGGUGGAAUUCCGAGUGUAGAGGUGAAAUUCGUAGAUAUUCGGAGGAACACCGGUGGCGAAGGCGGCCACCUGGUCCGGCACUGACGCUCAAGCGCGAAAGCGUGGGGAGCAAACAGGAUUAGAUACCCUGGUAGUCCACGCCGUAAACGAUGGGUGCUAGAUGUCGGGGGGCUUGCCCUUCGGUGUCGGAGCUAACGCGUUAAGCACCCCGCCUGGGGAGUACGGCCGCAAGGUUA